AGAAUGAACGCUGGCGGCAUGCCUAACACAUGCAAGUCGAACGAAGGCUUCGGCCUUAGUGGCGCACGGGUGCGUAACGCGUGGGAAUCUACCCUUAGGUUCGGAAUAACAGUUGGAAACGACUGCUAAUACCGGAUGAUGACGUAAGUCCAAAGAUUUAUCGCCUAGGGAUGAGCCCGCGUAGGAUUAGCUAGUUGGUGUGGUAAAGGCGCACCAAGGCGACGAUCCUUAGCUGGUCUGAGAGGAUGAUCAGCCACACUGGGACUGAGACACGGCCCAGACUCCUACGGGAGGCAGCAGUGGGGAAUAUUGGACAAUGGGCGAAAGCCUGAUCCAGCAAUGCCGCGUGAGUGAUGAAGGCCUUAGGUUGUAAGCUCUUUACCGGAUGAUAAUGACAGUACCGGAGAAUAAGCUCCGGCUAACUCCGCGCCAGCAGCCGC
rnacentral:rRNA from 1 species